AAUAAACAAUAGCGGAGUGGAGUGACUAGCGCGGGUGUAGUGGAUGACGAUGGAGGGAAUUCACACACUCCGUGUCAAAGUCAAACUCCAACCACCUCCCCAACUUUUAUCCCUCUCCCUUACCCAUUUCCUCGGUUCCUCGCCCCCACCUGCCUUCUUCUCUCUCCUUCUCUCCUUCUCUCCUUCUCUCUGACCCUGUCUGCAACAAACCCAAAUCCCAAAAUGACAGCCAUGAGCAACCUCAGCUCAGACGUCACAGAGCUCAUCUUCUCCUACCUCCCAAUCCCAACCCUCAUCCGCGCCUCCACCGUAUGCAAGCUCUGGCACUCCAUCAUCUCCUCCUCCACCUUCUCCCAGCUCUCCACCCAAUCCCAGAAAUACCCCUGGUUCUUCCUCUACGGCAUCCACAACACAUCCUCCAACUUCAACCAGUCCUUCGCCUUCGACCCAGUCUCCAAUCUCUGGUUCCGCCUUCCCUCCCCCACCUUCCCUUCCCAGUCCUCCUCCUUCCUCGGCGUCGAUGGCUUCUUCCUCAUCACCGCCCCAUUCUUCACCUUCUCCCCAAUCCUCAAGCGCCAUUCGCACUCCACCUCCCCUCUCCGCUUCUCCCGCAUCAACCCCCUUGUCGGCGUCUUCGACUCUGGCUCGUCGUCUCCGCCAAGCUUCAUCGUCGUCGGCGGCGUCCGCUUCAUCGGCAAUUUGGUCGACAUCGAGGACCGUUUGGCUGUGGAGAUUUACAAUCCCAAUUCCGAUUCUUGGCUCCUCUGCCCUCCUCUCCCCGCCGAUUUCCGCUCCGGCAACUCGUCCCAGUCUCUCUCAUCGGCCCUCUUCAAGCGCCGGUUCUACGUCUUCGGCAUCUACUCCUGCUUCAUUUCCUCAUUUGAUCUCCACACCCAUCUCUGGAGCGAGGUCCAGACCCUCCGCCCACCCGGGGUCGUCUUCUCCUUCUUGAUUUCCUGCAUGGACCGGCUCGUUCUAGCUGGAAUCUGCAACGGCCCCCUUGGGUCCUCCUUCAAUUUGUGGAAGAUCGAGGAGGCCACCAUGGAGUUCAGCGAGAUUGCGAUCAUGCCUCAUGACUUGUUGUAUGGGUUGUUCGAUGGGGAUGAAGAAGACAAGUUUGCAAGCUUGAAAUGCGUGGGGUUGGGCAAUCUGAUAUACGUGUUCAAUGAGGAGUAUCACAAAAAGUACCCAGCUUGUAUCUGUGAGAUUAGCAGUGAGGAUGGGAAGUGUAGAUGGAGGAAAGUGCCCCAAUUGCCUUCCCCUGUUAAUAAGUUCCAUAAAGUUGUUAGCUUUUCGUCCACAGUUUCGCUUCAUAGUAUUCUUCAGAGUGAAGGAGGAGGAGAUGUUGUUGUUCCUUUGCAGCCCAUGUUUGACUGAUAUUUGCUUCCUCAAUUUCUUGGUAUGAAUUCAUUCAUGUUCUGUUUUCUUGUUCAUUUAUAGCUUUUUGGUUUGUGUUACUCUGUCUGCUUGGCAUUAGUGUGAGAUUUUUCGAGUUUGGAAUUGCAGUUUGUAAGGCUGUUCUUGGUGGGUUUGAAUUGUUCAGUAGGAUUUGCUUAGCUACAAUGGUUCCUUAUUGAAUUUGCUCCAUCUUUCACGGAAAAUUUUCAUAGCUGGGUUACUUGGCCAAGAAAAAAGAGCAUGUUUCAAAUGUGUAGAUAAUGCUGGAUGGUGGUCCUUUUAUAUCGCCUAGCAUCUUCUUGUCCCUUGUGUAGAUGAUGUUUAAAAAGCUUCUAUACAACAGACGAGCAAAUUAAAUCAUUGACGUUUAUCUACCUUCUCGUCCGUCCCGGUUAAAGACAUCCUGACCCCUUGUAUUAUUCUGCUUAAUUUCGUAGCAUCUGUAUAGUAAGUACUCUUAUUGUUUGUGUUAUCAUUUGACGUCAAUGAUCUGAUGUUUGGUAAACAUUUUGUAAGUUGAUAAUUUUUGGCUUCAAAGAAACAGUUUGUACUUUUAAGUUGGUAAUUUAUGCUACCCGGGGAAUUAAUUUUUGUACAUA